UCGGAGCUGGCGUCAACCAGCGAAGGCUGAACCCGCCUCCGGGAUCCUCGCCGAGCUGGGAGUUAGGAUCCGAGGGGACCAAGAGGGAUAAGAAAACUUCUCUGGGUGCCCACUUGGUACUGAGCGCCCUUGGGAGGGCUCUGGAGAAGACCAUCGCCUUCCAGGGUAGCUCCCUCCCUCAAAGGUUUGAGAUCAUGGUCCAGUUCUCGGGUCUCCCAGCCUCAGUUUCCCCAUUUGUAGGAAAGGAGUUCACAGCCUCUAUCUCAGAGGAGGCUUUGAGGAUUCAGAGAACUCAGAAGAGGGGAAGGAAACUGAGGUCCAGAAAAGUUAUGACUCGCCCCAAGGGGAUUUCCUGGCAGGACGUGAAGGGGAAGGGGCCCACCGUGGAGUAACCCUCACUGGAGAAUCCAGAGACACGCCGCUUUUUGGAUGCCUCCUACGCCUGGCGGGAGUCUUGUCUGAGCUGGCACCACCACACGGCCCACGACAUCUUCGCAGAGAAGCCUGUGGACCCUCUGCCAGGCUCCGCAAGAGGUCAGGACAGGGCAGUGUGUUCACAAGGCCAGUUUCUGAUCGUCCGCCUUGAGGGUGAGGACCAGUAGGCAGCUUCCAAGAUGGGUGAAAGGAAAGGGGUCAACAAGUACUAUCCUCCAGACUUCAACCCUGAGAAGCAUGGCUCUCUCAACCGAUACCACAACAGCCACCCACUUCGGGAGCGGGCUCGGAAGCUGUCACAGGGCAUCCUCAUCAUCCGAUUCGAAAUGCCGUAUAACAUCUGGUGCGAUGGCUGCAAGAACCACAUCGGCAUGGGUGUUCGUUACAACGCAGAAAAGAAGAAGGUGGGCAAUUACUACACAACCCCGAUCUACAGGUUCCGGAUGAAAUGCCACCUCUGUGUCAACUACAUCGAGAUGCAGACGGACCCCGCCAACUGCGACUACGUGAUCGUGAGUGGCGCCCAGCGCAAGGAGGAGCGCUGGGACAUGGCGGACAAUGAGCAGGUGCUGACCACAGGUGAGCGCCACCCACUUACCUGCCUGGGGGCCCUGGCCCUGAGUCUGCGCUGGGGCCCCCAAAGCCCAGCCGAGCUCUGGUCGUUGCAGAGCAUGAGAAGAAGCAGAAGCUGGAGACGGACGCCAUGUUCCGGCUGGAGCACG
rnacentral:sRNA from 1 species